rnacentral:rRNA from 1 species
UACGAAGGGGGCUAGCGUUGCUCGGAAUUACUGGGCGUAAAGCGCACGUAGGCGGAUCCUUAAGUCGGUGGUGAAAUCCUGAAGCUCAACUUCAGAACUGCCUUCGAUACUGGGGACCUUGAGUUCGGGAGAGGUGAGUGGAACUGCGAGUGUAGAGGUGAAAUUCGUAGAUAUUCGCAGGAACACCAGUGGCGAAGGCGGCUCACUGGCCCGAUACUGACGCUGAGGUGCGAAAGCGUGGGGAGCAAACGGG